CGAUGAGUGNUAGGUGUUAGGCCCUUUCCGGGGCUUAGUGCCGGAGCUAACGCAAUAAGCACUCCGCCUGGGGAGUACGACCGCAAGGUUGAAACUCAAAGGAAUUGACGGGGGCCCGCNCAAGCGGUGGAGCAUGUGGUUUAAUUCGAAGCAACGCGGAGAACCUUACCAGGUCUUGACAUCCCGAUGCUAUUCUUAGAGAUAGGAAGUUACUUCGGUACAUCGGAGACAGGUGGUGCAUGGUUGUCGUCAGCUCGUGUCGUGAGAUGUUGGGUUAAGUCCCGCAACGAGCGCAACCCUUAUUGUUAGUUGCCAUCAUUAAGUUGGGCACUCUAGCGAGACUGCCGGUAAUAAACCGGAGGAAGGUGGGGAUGACGUCAAAUCAUCAUGCCCCUUAUGACCUGGGCUACACACGUGCUACAAUGGUCGGUACAACGAGUUGCGAGCCGGUGACGGCAAGCUAAUCUCUGAAAGCCGAUCUCAGUUCGGAUUGGAGGCUGCAACUCGCCUCCAUGAAGUCGGAAUCGCUAGUAAUCGCGGAUCAGCACGCCGCGGUGAAUACGUUCCCGGGCCUUGUACACACCGCCCGUCACACCACGAGAGUUUGUAACACCCGAAGUCGGUGAGGUANCCUUUUAGGG
rnacentral:rRNA from 1 species